rnacentral:rRNA from 1 species
UACGAAGGGGGCUAGCGUUGCUCGGAAUCACUGGGCGUAAAGGGUGCGUAGGCGGGUCUUUAAGUCAGGGGUGAAAUCCUGGAGCUCAACUCCAGAACUGCCUUUGAUACUGAGGAUCUUGAGUUCGGGAGAGGUGAGUGGAACUGCGAGUGUAGAGGUGAAAAUUCGUAGAUAUUCGCAAGAACACCAGUGGCGAAGGCGGCUCACUGGCCCGAUACUGACGCUGAGGCACGAAAGCGUGGGGGAGCAAACAGGG